rnacentral:rRNA from 1 species
GACGAACGCUGGCGGCGUGCCUAAUACAUGCAAGUCGAGCGAAGCGGCGGAUGGGUGAGUAACGCGUGGGUAACCUGCCCUUAAGUCUGGGAUACCAUUUGGAACCAGAUGCAAAUACCGGAUACUUAAGGAUGGACCUGCGAUGCAUUAGCUAGUUGGUAAGGGAACGGCUUACCAGGGCGAUGAUGCAGAGCCGAGUUGAUGGACUGAUCGGCCACAUUGGGGCUGGGACACGGCCCAAACUCCGCCGGGAGGCAGCAGUAGGGAAUCUUCCACGAUGGACGAAAGUCUGAUGGAGCAACGCCGCUUGAGUGAGGAAGGUUUUCGGAUCGUAAAGCUCUGUUGUUGGUGAAGCGGUAAUCAACCAGAAAGUCACGGCUGACUACGUGCCAGCCGCCGCGGUAAUUC